rnacentral:rRNA from 1 species
AUUGAACGCUGGCGGCAGGCUUAACACAUGCAAGUCGAGCGGGGUGAUGGUGCUUGCACUAUCACUUAGCGGCGGACGGGUGAGUAAUGCUUAGGAAUCUGCCUAUUAGUGGGGGACAACAUCUCGAAAGGGAUGCUAAUACCGCAUACGUCCUACGGGAGAAAGCAGGGGAUCACUUGUGACCUUGCGCUAAUAGAUGAGCCUAAGUCGGAUUAGCUAGUUGGUGGGGUAAAGGCCUACCAAGGCGACGAUCUGUAGCGGGUCUGGGAGGAUGAUCCGCCACACUGGGACGGAGACACGGCCCAGACUCCUACGGGAGGCAGCAGUGGGGAAUAUUGGACAAUGGGGGGAGCCCUGAUCCAGCCAUGCCGCGUGUGUGAAGAAGGCCUUAUGGUUGUAAAGCACUUUAAGCGAGGAGGAGGCUCUUUUGGUUAAUACCCAAGAUGAGUGGACGUUACUCGCAGAAUAAGCACCGGCUAACUCUGUGCCAGCCGCCGCGGUAA